GUAAAGGCACACUGAGAUUUUGUUUCCUUUGGAAUAAAAUUAUUGUUAGGGGCUGGACAAAGUGAAUAUUCAUACGUUAAUUGUACCUCACACACAGAAAAGGUUACAGAGGCCAAAGGUUAGCUGCCACCUAAAACCUUUUCUUAACCUGAAUUCGUGUGGUCUAUAUUCUUUUUUAACAGCCCCUUUCAUUUCUCUGUCUCCUCUUGUGAGAAUUGGGAAACUUAUCUCUCUCUCGCUCAUCCAAAAUCUGUUCUGCCCCAACCCGAUAUCAAAUUCAUCCUCUUCGAUUCUAAUGGCAUUGAUCAUUGAAUCAAUCACUUGGCUUGAAAUUUAUUGACCAUCGAAUUAUCGAUCAUCAAUGAGUUGAUGAAGAUGUCUUAAAUGAAGAUGCCUCCCCCUGCAUUUUUGGCUCUGUUUGGAAGCAGAGGUCCUAUGCCUGUGCAAAGCAAUUGAUUGAGAAUUUGAGAGGCUGAUUUGUGCCAAAAGAGAGACCUGUCACAGCUACAAGUUGGAUCAUCCAUGGCUUAUCUUUCUGGAAAUGAAGGCUAAAAAGGAUCCUAUCCAGAUAAUUGAUGGCAAGAAUAGCGGUAAGAGGUGUGAACCCCGUAAUGGGCUUUGACUUUGAAAAUCCACUUUACGGCCUCUUCACGAGCCUUCAAAUUUGGAGAUUUGUUGUGGCUAGGAGCCUAGGCAUGGAUUGGUCGGAUUUGUAUUCUGGCAGGUAUUCUAAAUAAAGUUGAUCUCAAUUUUGAAAGUAAGGUAAAAUUAAAGUUUUGAAUACAUUGGGGUUGUCCAAAGAUCCCGCAAAAUUUAAAACCGAAACCAAGUCAGCUUUGGGCAUAAGAAAAGUUAUAGUUUUGUGUUAUAGGGCUUUGUCUUGGUGUCUUGUACCUUAGCCUAAUGACAAGGAUUUUCUUUUUCGGCAACCUGUAAUCCGUCCACUACGGAAUACAUUGCAAGCAGUGUCAGUGACUCAGUGGAACAUGAAAGGGAAUGGGAGCGGUAUUUUCUCCCAUUACUGCUGAAAUAGAGCCAAUUGAGAUUGGAAACAAGAACAAAAACUUAUAUGACUCUUGUACUCUUUCACGCAUUGAGCAGUUCCUUCCCCCCUUGGAGAGCAGAAAUCUCAAAUCCAACGAAGAAUUAAUUGGGUCACAUUGAAUCCUUAUGGUGAAAAGUUGAAAACGGCUGAACAGCAGUAGCAGUAGAAGUGAAGGAAAUUCUAUAGAUGUAGAUGCAAAGGAGACAUUUCAUGGAAGUUUGACGAAUCACGUUUUGCCAAAAUACGAGUCUUCUGACUUCGGGAGAAGUGAUGUGAUGGAAGAAGAUCUCAUGGCCAUGGAGCCUGGUCUUGUUUACUUCGAGGUAGGAUUAGGUGAAUUUCUUUGAUGAAUUACCAAAUAAUAACCCCCUCAACCCAAAAAUGAAGAGUCUGUUUCCAAUAUUUAAGCUUGAAAAUUAAUAAUUAAAAAAAACAAAACCACACAUAUGCAUAUUAAAUGAGUAAUGCAGGUUGGUUCACAACUUUACCGUUAUUUUAGAUGCUAGGAUGGGGAGUCAAGUCUCUUGGAAACUUUGGCACUGUAUUAGGGAAUUUGGGGAAUGUUGGUGUGUUUGUGUGGGUUUUCCUUUUCCCCUUUUUCCUUCAUUGUGAAAGAGACGUCAUCCGUUGCCUUGUCUUCUUCUAUUUCAUCAAUGAAAACCAUUUUGAUUCAGCAAAAAAGCAAAAGAGUUUGUUAAGCUUGCAUCACAUUUUCUUGAUAUGUUCUAAAUUGGUAACUUUUGCAGUGCCUAGCUUAGCAUGAUGGGGUUGAUGAUAACAAUUAGAGUUUGCCGAACUUGAAACACAUAGCCGAAAUUCAUACUAUAAGAUUUCCUAGAGGUUUAGCCAUUGCCAGUUUCCACCCUUGACAGGAGUGUCUGAUUCAGUUGGUAACAACGCAGAAGUCCUAAUAACACUUUGACUCAUUAAUAUUGUAGUGGGGAUUUCUUCAAGUAAUAUAUACUCUUCAAUUCUUACAGAAAUGAAAGGGAUUUAUUUAUAGAAAAAAAAAAAAAAAAAAAAAAAAAAAUGAAAGAAAAGAAAAGAGAGAGAAAAUGCUGUGAGUAGAAAUUGCUUUUGUCUAGUGGUCUAAUAGAUCUGAUGUUACAAAGGAUCCCGUGCUUUGUAAAACUUUAUUCUUUUUGAUUUAAUGCUUUAUUUGAAAAGAAAAUAAUAGGCGAGUCCCUAAUUAGUAUUUAGAGGGUUUAAUAUUAUGGGGUCUAAACUACUUAAGUAACAUUUUGGUCUUCUUGCAUUCCGUUGUAGAGGACACAUUAUUUUAGUCUUGUAGAUGCUGGUCUUGUUUUUCUUAAGUUAUGUGCUAUGAGCAUAUUGUGCAUCUUUUACAUCUUGUUCAUGAUUUCCUUUGAAAUUUUUUCAUUUUAAUAUGUAUAUAUAUAAUAUAUAUUUGCUUGCUUGGGCAUUUUACGUAUUUAUUUAUUUUUGAGCAAGUCUUGAUCAGUUAAUUUAGUUAAUUUACAAUUAUGGACAAAACUUCAGGUAAUUUAUGUCAUUGUUAUUAAUCAGGAGUAUAGUGCGGUCUUGGAUUUUCUUCUAUUUAAGUUUUAUUUUAAAAAAAUAUUAGCAAAAAAUUAUGGUAACAAACUAAGACAUUGAAAGAUUAACUCUGAAAUAUGAUAAGAAGUAUAUAAAAGAAAUUUGAGUAGUCAUCAUAAUAUUUUCGAAAAAUAUUAUAAUGAAUUUCAUUUAAUGGAUGAUAUAUUAUGAUGAUAGGAUCUCCUUUAGGUAGUCUAUGGAGUAACAGAUAAAUUUUUGUUUUAUCAUGUUCACCUUGAUUUCUUUUCUAAUGAAUGAUUCAUUCAGUUUAUUUUACAGGAUGGAUCUUUUUCCAGAGGCCCUGUUGAUAUUCCGGUUGGUGAGGUUGAUGAGCCCAAAUAUUAAUUAUGGACAAAACUUUUAAGUUUGAGCAAUUUACUUAAUUGUAGUCCAUGUGCUGGAAAAAGUUAGUCAUAUACUCAUUUGACCAAAGCAACUGCUCUCCUUAUGUGUACCUGUGCACAGAGACCUUAAAGAAGAGAAGGUCACCCGAGAAUGCAGUUCAUUUUCUCAGAGGAAAAGAAUUCAGCCAGCAGAGCUGACCGGAUCCCGGAAGGUGUUUGUGGUGAGUGCUUUCCCUAUCUACAGUGAGGAGGAGAUGGUAACAGAGGAAAGCAACGGCUCCCCUUAUGUGUACCUUGAAGAAGAAGUUCACCCGAGAAUGCAGUUCAUUUUGGAGAGGGAAGCCCCCAAUGAUGUCCAACCUAGGGGCGGAGCCUACCCCCAAAUUUUUUAAAAAAAAUUAUUAAUAAUAAUAAUGUAUGGUUAUUAAUGAUUAUUAAUGGUAAUUUUGUAGUGAAUAUUAAAUUUGGUUUCCCAAAUAUUUUUCAGAAUUCUA